rnacentral:rRNA from 1 species
UACAGAGACUGCAAGCGUUAUUCGGAUUCACUGGGCGUAAAGGGCGCGUAGGCGGCCUGUUAAGUCGAACGUGAAAUCCCCGGGCUCAACCCGGGAACUGCGUCCGAUACUGGCAGGCUUGAAUCCGGGAGAGGGAUGUGGAAUUCCAGGUGUAGCGGUGAAAUGCGUAGAUAUCUGGAGGAACACCGGUGGCGAAGGCGGCCUGCUGGGCAGUAGCUGACGCUGAUGCGCGACAGCGUGGGGAGCAAACAGG